UGCUGUGAGGAGCAGGCUGGUUGUGUCUCGACAUGUGACAAGCUUCUGCUUUCUGCCUUGCUGACUAACUUUCAGUAGCUGUUGCAACUGUCCAGACUGUUUUCUGGAAAGGCUGUGCAAUUUUUGAGACACUUUGUUGCCUGUUAGCUUUAUCUUAGCUGUCGUUAUUUUUUCAAUUAGUGACUUCUUCAGGAAUUCACUGGAAUUAAGUGACUGCAGAAAUCAAAUAGCUGCGCUCAAACCCACUGCUGUGAACUGGAAUAUUUUUCUCAAGCUACUGGUAUUGUCUACUCUCUUGGUUUGAGAAGGAUUCAUUAUGCUGGAAGUAUUUUGAUGUAAUUAUUAAAUGCUAGAAGAAUAUUCAUGAAAUUUCUGUUCUGGCCCCAAAUUUUGCAACCCGGAAUUUUCAAGGUUCGCUGAGGCUGGGUCAUUUAUUCUUUAUAGGUCUCCAAGGAUCUCAGAGACCAUUACCUCACAAAUUCUCCAGUUAUCAACUCCCUUAAGGAGAAUCUUGGCAAAUACAAGAAAAUUAUGUUCUAAAAAGAGUUCUUUGUAAGGAAAGCACAGCCAUGGAGGGAAUCAGGAAGGAAAGAGGGGGCUGCUCACCAAGCCAAGCACAGAUGACAAGGCUUCCCAGAGCAUCAGCGUUGCUGUGAAGAGGGAACUCUUCAGGUGCCAGAAUGUUUCGGAAUUUUCCUGCGGCUUCACCAUGGGAACUGCCAUUUCACCAGGAAUGAAUUUGACCCGCUGAGCAAUAAAGCUGAGGCAAAACACUUACACUCCAGCCAGGAUGGGGGAAUUGCUUGUUUUUCUGUUGGCAUGUUCUCCUCUGGCAGUUUUUUUUUCACCAAGGAGCGUUCCUUGUUCAUUCAACCUUCCUCUAACUUCACCUUGAGAAAGCAACAGGGCUUUGAAAGUGUCGUUUUCCCAGCAACAGCUGCUGCUUUUAGCAUCCAACAGUCUUUAAAUCCAUAGAAAGCUAGUUUAUAUGGACAGGGAAGCAUUAAAUGCUAGGAAAUGAGGGUCUUUAGGUAACUAUUCCAGAUCUGCUAUAUCUGCAGUUACAACAAUUGGUGGUGUAGGUGGUGUUCUUUUACUGGCUUUUAAUGAGACACAUUUAUUACUGCCUUGCGAUAAACCAAAGUAAAGCCAUAAAAGUGACUUUCAUUGAACAUUUGUUUGAGUUCUGCCUGGGUCUUAUAAAGCUUCAUUUGUUCAAGACUUCAGUUUUUGUUUUACAUGCCUGCCACCUUUUUGGUAACAGCUGUUAUCUCCUUCCAUAGCUGAAUACAAUAGGCUUCCCUUCCACGACACAACAGGAACUUGUUUCAUGACUGGUGUGAGACAGAGUUGGGAUUUGAUCCUUCAUAAUCUGCUAAAUCAGCAGAGUAUCCCAACCACUCCAUACAACCAGGCAGAAUGUGGGCUUGAAACUGCUCAUGUUCGUUUGUUAAAAUUUCACAACAGUCGAAAACAGUCACUGUGCAGGUUGGUAACAGAACUGAAAUUUUAGAACAGCAUCUAAUCCAGCAGUCUUUGUUCAGAGCACUGAAGACCCAUUGACUUGAGAGAUCCUUGAUAGACCCAAACCUCCAGCCACAGCAGGGUGAUAAAAAUAAAUGUUUUUUUUAGGUCCAGCAGUGAAUUUAAAGCUUAUGCAUUUUCUUCAUCUGCUGGACUAGUUCACAUUUCACUACAUAUAAGUUCCAAUAUUGCAGCUAAACUCUCUGGAAAUAUUCUGCAAGAAAUGUUCUUAACAAUUCACCUCCGUAAGUUAAUACCUAUUAAAACCUAAAAAUGAAUUAGAUUUGGAAUUUCCUGGAUUCUUGUGUUUGUCAUGCAAAUUUUCAGUGCUGUUCUUUUUAUGAUAAUAUGAAAUAAAGUAGUUUCUUAUAGUAACAUUGUAAAUCAUUUGCUUUCUAUUACACGCAGCUGGUUUUGUUACAGUAAUGAUUUUGUAUGGGUGCACACUGCAGUGCGUAUUAAAGGCAAUGAAAUAUUCUUUUUUCAGGGCUCACAUGCAAUUGAUGUUUGUGCAAAUAUAACCAGAUAAUGACAAAACAGUAAUUUAUUAUAAUAUAUUAACGAGGUUGUUUUUUCUCUCUUCUCCCAAAAUGCACCUUCUUCCAAACUGCCCUUCCCCCUGCAGCAAAUCCUUUUUUUUUUUCUUGUUUACAAAAAUGACUCCCCACCCUUGCAGAUGCAGAUUAGAGUUUUUCAGCUCACUAGAGAUCCAGAAUCAAAAUCUAAACCAGCUGGUGCUUUUACGCGGGUGUCUUACUUUAGCUUACUCAAAAGAACACAAGAUGAACGGAGGAAGAACCAGAGAUGCUUGUUUCAGCGUUCAAUUGUUCCAGAAAGAUAAGAAAAAUCUCCAUCUGAAUUUCUUCACCUCUACUUGGACAUGGUUCUGUCUGGUGCUCCUUCCAUCACCCUCUCCAUUCCCUCUGACAGAAGACCUGCUUUCAUCCGGCUCCUUUUACCUUUGUGUCUAGAACAGACAGUGCUACCCUUUCCCUCUGGUUGCAGUUGCUGCAGCAACCUGGCCAUGAAAGCUACGCACCUCCUGCAUUUUUACUGAGGUGGUUUUUUGCUGGGUUUUGGCUCAGUACAGACUUCUCAAGCCAAGAGCCAUCCUAUUUUGCAGAAUGUGACAAACAACGCUGCAGUUUCCACUGGGAGUCGCUGGAAACAUCAUCUGCCCCUGCAGCCCAGUCUCCAAGAACCAGCCUGAAAGCUGCAGCUGGAGGUUGGCAUCCUUUCUUCCCCAGCUGUAGCUCUCAGAGGUCACUGAUAUAAUUUUAGUACUUGAAAUGGUGCCUUGCAAGGGUUACAAGAAUAUUCAGUCCUGGACAUAACAGGGAGUGACCUCAGCUGCAAAAUUCAAGUGGGGAUGCAGAGCCACAGACUGGAAGAGGAAUAUCCAGAGUAGGGCUUUGGUUCACACCCAUUCCCAAUGCACAACAUUUGUAUGAAGGAAGACUCUUCAAAGCUCUUUGAAAUGUGUCUGAAUGCAUGAAGAGAUUCCAAUGGUUUAAACAUGUUUGAAAAUCCCAGAUGCAAAGCAAUUGUGGUUCAUUACACCUAUCACUUCCCCACUUCCUCAUUUUUUCUGUCUGCUUUAAAUGAAGAAGCGUCUGAGAUCCAUAAAUUUAUUUCUUUAUCCUCAUUUGAACACUGCCAUAGAUGCCAUUAAAAUAUCCAUACACUGGAAAUCUCAAGAAACAUAUCUGUAUAAUAUGUUUAAUAAUUUGUCAUGUUGCAAUAGUAGAUAGAGGCAGAAAAGCCUGAAAAUCAUUUUUUAGAAGCUUGUUGUUAUAAUGAAGAACCUUACCUGUGGUGAAGUAGUAGUGCAGUUUUUUCUCUCAUUUGCACAAAUAUGCCAGCUAAAUAUAUAAGUUAAAUAAAUGUUGGCUUGAACCAGCA